CCAGAGAGAGAAGAGAAGGGAGAGGAGAGCCUCUGUGGUGUGAGGACUCUCUCUCAAGGCUUCUAGCCUUUGUUUUCAGCUCUAGCCCUUAGAAAUGAGGACUUAAGACCUUUUUUUAGAAUGAGGGGGAGUCCCCUUUUAUAGAAUAAGGGGCUCCUCCUCUUUUACAUUUGUCGUGGGCUUAAUGUGUGAGGCCCAAAUACGAAGCCCAAGGCCCAAAUACGAGGCCCAAAUAUAUGGUACCAACAGGAGUCCCCCAAGUCUUCAGUCAAGAGAGUCUUUUGGCUGGAGACUUCAAAUUCAAUCCAUGUACGGGCCGAAGUGGCUAGAUGUCUUGAACCAGUACUCAACCUAAGGCAAUGCUCAACAUAAAGCAAUACUGGGCUAAAGGUAUCACAAAAUUACGAGACUACUCGGCUGGAGGCGAUGCUCGUUGCGAGGCGGCUCGGCUCGUGGUAUUCCUUAUUGCAAGUAUCUACUUUAUGUCGACAUGCACUCAGUAUGAGUUGAUUCUCGACAUGACUCGGGUCUGCUUGUCGGGUUCACAUAUUGGGUCUAUAUGUCAGAUCUGCGGAUCAGGUCCGCAAGUCGGGUCUUUGAAUUGGGGCCAUACGUAGGGGCAUCAAGUUGGGACUAUCUGUAGGGUCAUCGAGUUGGGUCCGGGCACAUAGGUGUCCCAAUAAGCGAAUGUCCGAGCAAGGGUGUCUGGUCAGGCAAGAGAUCAAUGUUGAUCAGUAUAGCUGGUUGCUCGAUAAUUCCUGACAAUAAAUGACAGCAUAAGUAUGAUUGUAUAAUGAAUAAAUCGAAUUGACACAAUUUGUCAAGGCAGAAUAUUGUAUGAUGUGCCUACUACAAAUAAAUGAUUUAUUCAGUUGUGUGGUAAAUCACACGUUGCAUAAGUGAAAUAAUUAGCUGAAACACUGGGCAAUGAAUAAAUAUUUGCACAAAUAAAUGCUUAUAUAAAUAUGCGCGAUCCGACUAGGAUUAGUGAUAUAUAUAUAUAUAUAUAUAUAUAUAUAUAUAUAUAUACAUACAUACAUACAUAUAUACUUGUGAAAGGUUGUGUGCCCAUAAUUAUGCCACGUGACUAGCCAUUGUCUCAAGGUAAUAGCCUUUGAUGCAAUAGUAUAUAAUAUAUUGAUCAGUUCGGUGCAUGUGUUUAGCACACGCAAUAGAUGGAGUUAUGAUCAUUUACAAUGAUUAAGUACUGACUUUCUGUCAGCACAGUACAUUUAAUAUGGUGUUACAUGGCAUAUAAGUGAUGCAUUUGUAUUGCACUACGCAUACUGAUAUUGGUAUGUACAUAGCAGACUUAAGUUUACAACAGCAUUAUUUAAUAAAAGCACAAGCACGCGGCCAUAUGCGGUUGCAUUCUAGCAACAAGUAUAUAUAUAUAUAUACUGUUGUGAUGCCAACUAUCAUUAUAUACUAAUAAUGCUUUCUAGCAACAAGCACGGCAUAUCCUAAUAAUGCUUUUGUGAUGCCAACUAUCAUUAUAUAUAUAUAUAUUAAUUAUGCUUUUGUGAGUGCCGAUUAUAAUGAAACACUAUUGAUAAAGAAAGAAGAUGCCUUAUCUUUAUCCCGACAUUGGCGGUCGACAGGAAAAAGUGGAUGGAGACCUAACGUUUUUUGUUGUUGUCCAAGCCCUUUUGAUGAUGAUUAUCAUCCAUUGGCAUAUCCUGCUGUAACAAACUCAAUUGGAGUGGAGCAAAGUGGCGGGGCCCAAAUAAGGCUCAGGGUUCCACUAAUAGUUAGGGCAGGAUGUGCUACAGCCUUUUCGAUUGUUUCUCCUUCCCGUCCAACUCUGUGAGUGAUUAACUCGAACGAGUGUUUCUCCGGCCUGCAAAGCCUUUUCGAUUUCGACAUCACUCCGAGCAGCAUCCUCAAUGUUAAUAGGUAAAACAGCAUCCUCAAUGUUAAUGGGCAUUUGCCCAUGGCUGAUUGCUGCUCUGUGAGUAGGAGAAUGAGCAUUGGGAUUCAGAUUCGACGACAUCGUCGUGGUCCUGGAAAUGACAUCCAUCUGCGGUCUGGUGAUUGCCUGAUAUUGUAAAUCUCGAAACGACGUCGCAACCAAGAAAAAGAGUGAGAACGCCUGGAUAUUGGCUGCUGACUCGGGCUUGGUUUCUCUGCUCUGAAGUUUCCCCACUGACCCAACCCCGUUUGGCCCAUAUCUCCGACCCGUUGUCCAGUUGGUAAACCAAGUGGACAAAUGCCCAGCGACCAUUCUCCUUGUCGUCAAAGGCACAGAUUAGGUCCUUCACCAUGGGUUAGACAGAGAGGAGGAAGACGGCGACAAACUUGAACUCAAGGACUCUAUGAGCAAUGGCAAGCCAAGUGACCGGACCCGGCCGACGAGGGCGUCGAGGACGCUCCACUUACCGCUGUUCUGACUUCCCACGAUCGCCACUUGAGGCAGCAAAAUAUGCGGCUUGUUGCUGACCACCGGCGCGAGAAUAUCCUGGACCCUGUUGAUCAUCGAAAUUAACGACGAGCCGAUCGUCACUGAAGGUCUCGGACUGGUUGCCGAUGAGUCGACUUCUUUAGCUUCUUCUCCAAUGGUGCAGUUUUAGAGAGAGAAAACUUACACUCUGAUUACCAAGAGUGUGGUAGAGAGAUAAAGUAGUGUUACAGAGAGUAAGGUAGAGAGAGGCAAACGUGGGUUUUUUGUGAAUGUGGGUUUUUGGGUUUUUUGUGAUUUUGCAGAUUCACGGUGGAGGUGAAAAAUUGAGAAAGAACCGACAUAGCUUUUCGUGUCGAUUCCCACAGACGGCGCCAAAUGUUGAUGCACAAAACCGGGGCGGUCUUGGAACAACAUAAAUCCGACCGUGAAUCUGCACAAACGCUCAAGAACACGAAGAACACAAAGAACACAAGGAUUUUAUCGUGGUUCACCCCAAUGUUUGGGCUACGUCCACACUGUAGUUGAUUCUGUUUCUCUGUAAUUGUAUGGAUACAAGUGUUUGAGGGGAAGUCCCCCAGAGAGAGAAGAGAAGGGAGAGGAGAGCCUCUGUGGUGUGAGGACUCUCUCUCAAGGCUUCUAGCCUUUGUUUUCAGCUCUAGCCCUUAGAAAUGAGGACUUAAGACCUUUUUUUAGAAUGAGGGGGAGUCCCCUUUUAUAGAAUAAGGGGCUCCUCCUCUUUUACAUUUGUCGUGGGCUUAAUGUGUGAGGCCCAAAUACGAAGCCCAAGGCCCAAAUACG
rnacentral:lncRNA from 1 species